UCCUUUGUGAUGAACACCUUAUUUAAGCCAAACAGUUAUCCCUGUCAUAAAAACACUUGAUGAUACAAUAUGCUGACAUAUAU